CCCGCUGUCAUCAACCGAGAGACCGAGCCCCGCUGUCAGCGCCGACCGGGGAAAUUCACAAGCUCGGUAAAAAUUCUCCGGUGUACUGCUCGCCUGAAGAUGUUCUGCGCGACAGAAUGGAAGCCGACAAGAGAGAAAGAGAGCCAGAAAACCCAAGGAAAACACAGUUACUCCCAAGCAACAAAGUGGCAAGAAUGCAAGUCUUGGCAUCGACUGGUGCUCUUAACAUUUUCUCAUCUAAAAAGAGGACGUUUUGAGAUUUAAGACAGCCCUGGCUCAAAUUAGAUUAUAAUUCACUGCAGGACAUCCCCAUUACGCAGGUAUUGUGUGAAAUGGAAACUAUAUGUGACCCCUGGAGCAUAAAACCAUCCUGCCUGGGUAUAUUUUGGCAAUAAUUGUAUUGGUCAAAAUGAUAAUUUUUAUCUUUUAUGCCAUAAAUUAUUCCCAUUUUAUGUAAAGAUCAAGUUCCAUGAAAACAUUUUGUAAAUUUAGUAAUAUGCAUUGAGAAGCGCAUCACGAAGACCAGUGUUUCUCAACCACGUUCCUGAAGGACCACCGGCUCUGCAUAUUUCCCAUGUCUCCUUAACCAAACACACCUGAUUCAGAUCAUCUGCUCAUUACACAGACUGAAAGGCCUGUAACAAUUUAGACAGACAAAGGAGACAUCAAAAAUAUGCAGUGUUGGUGGUCCUCCAGCGACGUGUUUGAGAAACACUGAUGCAGACAACUUUAAAGCAGAUUUUAUCAGUGUUUUUGAUUUUUUUUUUAACUCAAGUUAGGUUUCAGGAGAUUGAAAAAAGAAAGAUAAAGGUGCAUUUUACACACUAUAAAAAAUUAUUGUUGCUUUAAUUUUUUUUAGAUGAAUAUAAUUUACUUUUAUUUUUUUUUAAAGUUAAACUGUAUAUAACUUAAAAAAUGUAGUCGACAAGUUAAAUCGAUUUGAAUUAAAGCAACAUAAAAAUA